rnacentral:rRNA from 1 species
CCAGUUCGGAUUGUAGUCUGCAACCCGACUACAUGAAGCUGGAAUCGCUAGUAAUCGCAGGUCAGCAUACUGCGGUGAAUACGUUCCCGGGUCUUGUACACACCGCCCGUCACACCAUGGGAGCCGGAAAUGCCCGAAGCCAGUGACCCAACCUUAGGGAGGGAGCUGUCGAAGGUGGAGCCGGUAACUGGGGUGAAGUCGUAACAAGGUACC